rnacentral:rRNA from 1 species
UACGGGGGGGGCAAGCGUUGUUCGGAAUUACUGGGCGUAAAGGGCCAGUAGGCGGCCGGCUAAGUCCGACGUGAAAUCCCCAGGCUUAACCUGGGAACUGCGUCGGAUACUGGCUGGCUUGAAUUCGGGAGAGGGAUGCAGAAUUCCAGGUGUAGCGGUGAAAUGCGUAGAUAUCGGGAGGAACACCAGUGGCGAAGGCGGCGAUCUGGGAAGGUACUGACGCUGAGGUGCGAAAGCGUGGGGAGCAAACAGG